AUUGAACGCUGGCGGCAGGCCUAACACAUGCAAGUCGAACGGUAACAGGAAGAAGCUUGCUUCUUUGCUGACGAGUGGCGGACGGGUGAGUAAUGUCUGGGAAACUGCCUGAUGGAGGGGGAUAACUACUGGAAACGGUAGCUAAUACCGCAUAACGUCGCAAGACCAAAGAGGGGGACCUUCGGGCCUCUUGCCAUCGGAUGUGCCCAGAUGGGAUUAGCUAGUAGGUGGGGUAACGGCUCACCUAGGCGACGAUCCCUAGCUGGUCUGAGAGGAUGACCAGCCACACUGGAACUGAGACACGGUCCAGACUCCUACGGGAGGCAGCAGUGGGGAAUAUUGCACAAUGGGCGCAAGCCUGAUGCAGCCAUGCCGCGUGUAUGAAGAAGGCCUUCGGGUUGCAAAGUACUUUCAGCGGGGAGGA
rnacentral:rRNA from 1 species